rnacentral:misc_RNA from 1 species
AAAAAAUUCUGAGAAUUUGAGUCAAGGGAAAACAAUUCGUAAAUUUUCUGACCGCAAUGCUCGACAAGGAGGCUACACUCGAACAGCUGUACCUGGUAAUGCNNNNNNNNNCGAGAGUUCCGUGUUGUAAAAGAUAACAGAGUUAACCAAAAUACAACUGGAGAACCAAAACAUGCCCAGCAAGGUUCAACAUCCUGCAGUAAGCAAGAUAUUGCAACUGUUCCUGAAAACGGCAGCUCAUCAGGAACUUCAGGCGACGUAAAGCCUUCUGGUGCACAAAGUUCCACUCAAGCUUCUAAUGGGCCUAUUGAUUUUGAGUCUAGACACGCCAGAGACACUACCUUGAAUGUCACAGACAGGAAAGUAGUAUUUGAGGAAAAGCGGAC